UGAAGGAGCAGAGAGAAGCAACAUGCAACAGAUGAAUAUCAGCAACAAGAAGUACAAUUCAUUUUCAUUUAUUGUGGGAGCGUUCCGGUCAUUUUCACCUAAAUGCCACAUCACAAGCUUUAGAGAUGAACAACAAACAAAACAGUGCCGACUUUAAACACUAUCAUAGACUAACAAAAUAAAAGUGAACAAAAAUGCAGGCAUCUUCCCUGUCUUCCUGUCUGUUCCAAAACAGGAGAAAAAAAUUAUUUCUUCAAAACAAAACUAUCCAUCUCCUACAAAUUUGCUUGUACAAUUACUUAUCCGUUUGUUAAAAAAUACAAGGUGACUGUGUGGAAUGUUUCUGUUGAAAUGCUGAUUACUCAUCAGGCUUAUUAAACUUAAAAGUAUCAUGAGAAUAAACAAUGCAGUUGUUUGCAGAAUAGCCUAUUUUGAUUUCAAAAUGCAACAACGAUUAUAAUUGUUCAUGAAGCUAACAUCACACAAGAAGCAGUUAAAGCCUUCGCCUUACAAGUCAGAGAAUAAAUAGAAUAAAUGCAGAUCAAGCAUUUAUUGACAUUUUUUGACGUAUAACUGUGCAAAUUUCUCCAAAAUGUUCCAAUUCAUUGACUACUUUCAUGGGAACCACUUAUUUUUUCCCAUGACUGAGACAUUAUUUAAAUGAUAAACUCUUCAUAUAGUUCUUGAUACAUUUUAGUGUUGUAUUUCAAUAUGUAUAUUUUUUGGUCCAAUGGUGACCAAUUGACCUUAGCGAGCUGUGCCAACACUGUGGGGAGAAGAAUACUAUGGAGGAACAAGGUAAGACAGGGAAAAAACAAAGACAAUCGAUACCUUGGCUAAUUUUAAAAUAAGUCCAUCUGAGUGCUCUGAUCAUUCUGAGGCCCCAUUCAUGCAUGGUACAUCUUUCUUCAGAGGACAUACACAGUAUAUGUAUCACAGCUAGCUAUAUGUUUUACUGUAUCUCAGAUAUUCACCCUAAAUAUCUUGGAAGCAUUAUUACAAGAGCCUUACCCCAUGAAAGCCUACAGCUGUGCAGCGUGUCAAUUUGAAUCUCCACCUCCCCUGCCUUAAUAUUAUGAGUGUUUAAGUUUUUGUUUAAUUAAAGGUACUGUUAACCUGAUAUUACCUCACAUAUAUAUACAUGUGUGUGUAUAUAUGUAUGUAUGCAUGUAUGUAGAGUAUGUAUAUAGAUUAUAGAUAGAAUUUGUGGUAAAACCACAAAAAAAAAAAAAAAAAGGACAAUAAGUUUGAAAGGACAGAUAAGUUUACGUGAAAUUGAAUUUACCUGUGGGGACUGUACAUAACAAUGGGGUCACAUAUUCUGAUGCCCCCUUUAAAUACAUUAGUAGCCUGUUUUUGUGACAUCAGCUUCAUGAACUUUGUUAAACAUUUAAGUUGCAUACAAAAUGCAAAAAUAGGCUACUCUGCAAACAACAGGAUUGUGUUUAUUCUCAUGACAUUUUUAAUUGGUUUAAUAAGUCUGUUUAAUAAUGAGCAUUUCUAAAUAAACAUUCCACACGGUCACUUUAAUUUUUAUUUAUUUAAGAAGCGGUUAAGAAUUUGUACAAACAUAUUCAAAAACAUUCAGGAGUAUCUACAUUAGCUUACAUAACACUUAAGGCUAAAACAUAAGCAGAGGAUUUUUUUGAAUUAAAAAAUAAAAAAAGUUGUUUUUUAUCCAUUUAAAAGUAUAAGAAAAUGAAUAAAUAAAUCCAAGUAAUUUAAUGUGACAGCUGUACUGUUCAUAUUAGACCCAGAUUCUUUCCUGGAUAGGCUAUACAGUAGAGGAGGUUGCACGUUGAAUUGACGCGACCAGACUGUACAGACGCGCUCAUUCAAUGUGUACGCGCGCCAUGAACCUGUACCACUGAUAUAUAUUAUAGAUCAGUGACCUGCACGCUUCCAAUAAUAACCAACUGCAGAACCGCAGAACCAUUACGUCAUAACAGUCUGAGGACGACAGCGCCAGACCGACUGUUUGAGAGCGGAAGUGGGCUGGGUAGCAGUCCGAUGCCGGAAGUGUACGGAGUUCAUGUUUAGACGUGUUUGUUUAGAUUAGACAGUAAAAGGUUUUUAGACAGUAAAAGAUAGACAUUAAAAGGUUUUUAGACAGUAAAAAAUAGACAAUAGAAGGUUAAACUAUGGCGGAGCACACUGUAGAACAAGGAAAAGAAGAAGAGAAAGAGAAGCACAUAUCGAUUUGGGGAUUGUGUUAGUGCUACCACUUCUGAUCCAAUGCACAACAUGUUGCAGAAAUUUUCACUGCCCAUUUUGUGAUGCCAGCAUCUUUAAACCAACAAGACGGAACAAAUUGACCAGUCAUAUGAAAAUUCACUUCAAAAAGGCUGUUGUUCAUGGAGAUUUCACAUUUCGCAGAUGUGGUUUGGGCUGCAGACAAUCUUUUCAUUUCCACUGUCUCUACUGUACAGCCACAAUUCUGAGAAAAUUAGAUUUUCAUAAUCAUUUAGAAGUAUGUAAAGGGAAGCCGCUGUCCACCAGCACUGUUCAUACUACUGGGACCCCAUCAGCCACCAGCACUGUUCAUACUACUGGGACCAGCACUGUUCAUACUAAGAGGCCCUUCUUAAACUUGAUCGGGCGGAAAGAAAAGAUGAUCUGGAACUGGCCAAAAAGCCUUUCAUGUUUCGGUUCCAGUUUCAACAGGACAUGGAAGUUUUUCUUUUCAAAUGUCACGAUGAAAGGCACCUCAGAAUAAACUCCAUGUGUAUGGAGUUUUAA